GGACGGAGAAUUCACGAGGUGGAGGAAGUGAGGUGGAGGAAGCUGGACGAACAGACAGCGGAAGAGGCGGGAUGAAAAGGCGAAGGAGGAGGCAUGACGCUCAAGUUUGCCAGCGGUGGAGAGUUCAACAAGAAGAUGGCGGCCUCUAGAUUAGAGUGAUGAGAGGACGAGAUCUUUGUAGAAGCAGUUUUGAGUGAUGAGGUCUGACACAGAGGCCAAGCCGUGGACGUUAAUGGCAGCGUAGAAGCUGGAGACAGCUUCAGAGUUCAGACACAGAUGUGGGAGCUGUUCGGGACGCAACGUCGAUGGCUGUCUCCCACCACUCAGCUGCUUUUACAGACGGACUACAGGAUGUGAACUAUUGCCACCGAGUGACGGUUGUUGGUUUCAAACUAUUGCCAGAAAGGUUUAUUCUUUGGACUGGACACCUGAGAUGAACCAGAUUGUCAGUGCAUCUCAACAAGACACGCUCAGUUAGAAGAGAAAAGUGAUGGAAAAGGGAAAGACACAACCAAAGGGCCAAUUGAUAAAGUCCUGAAAAUGCAAUCGUUUAGAUCUUGAAAAG